rnacentral:rRNA from 1 species
UACGUAGGUGGCUAGCGUUGCUCGGAAUCACUGGGCGUAAAGCGCACGUAGGCGGACUCUUAAGUCGGGGGUGAAAUCCUGGAGCUCAACUCCAGAACUGCCUUCGAUACUGAGAGUCUUCGAGUUCGGGAGAGGUGAGUGGAACUGCGAGUGUAGAGGUGAAAUUCGUAGAUAUUCGCAAGAACACCAGUGGCGAAGGCGGCUCACUGGCCCGAUACUGACGCUGAGGUGCGAAAGCGUGGGGAGCAAACAGG